rnacentral:rRNA from 1 species
UACGUAGGGUGCGAGCGUUAAUCGGAAUUACUGGGCGUAAAGCGUGCGCAGGCGGUUAUGCAAGACAGAUGUGAAAUCCCCGGGCUCAACCUGGGAACUGCAUUUGUGACUGCAUAGCUAGAGUACGGUAGAGGGGGAUGGAAUUCCGCGUGUAGCAGUGAAAUGCGUAGAUAUGCGGAGGAACACCGAUGGCGAAGGCAAUCCCCUGGACCUGUACUGACGCUCAUGCACGAAAAGCGUGGGGAGCAAACAGG